GGCUUGUUAGUUUAAUAUAAAAUAUGGGUUUUGUAGUCCCAGGAUAAUAUUUAUUAUUACUAGCUU
rnacentral:tRNA from 1 species